GGGCCCGUGUUGGUAAUGGUAACCACUCACUCUUGACAGGUGAAAUUGCCGGUUCGACCCCGGUCGGGUCCA
rnacentral:tRNA from 1 species